rnacentral:lncRNA from 1 species
AGAGAGAGGUCAGAAAGGAAGAGAGGAAGGGAGAAGAAAAGAUAGGAAGGGAAGAAAAAGAGUGUGGUUGAGUGGGAAUAGGAGGAAAGUCGAGAACGACCGGGCAAGAGGGAGGAGAAGAGAGAGAGUCGCAGAGGCAAAAAGCUGAAGAGAAAGGAAGGAAGGGAAGUUGCGGCCGAGGAGCACCGUGUGACGACGAAAUCCAAAGCCAAGAUGCACACAGCGUUGGUGUUCAAAAAAUAAAUUUAAAAAAUCACAUC